rnacentral:lncRNA from 1 species
AUAUAGUUUUUAAAGAUGCAGGAACUCAAUGCAUAUAAUGUUUCAAUGAUGUUAGUGACCAAAACAAAGAUGCAAGCACAUUCGCCUGGCGUCUGCGGUGAUCAGUGAGGACUUCACAGCCCUCCAUUUGAUAUUUACCAUGAUACCCAUGUAGCGACUACGUGUUGUGCGUUGAUGCAUGUUGUCCUUACAUUCACCACCUGUCAGCAGAAGUCACAACUUUGAGUGUUGCUUUGAGUUCCCGCUAGCUUUCUCAUUUCUGCCACAAGGAGCUAGCGAAAGCGGGGAAUUUCCAUUCUGAGCCCUAUUAGCUGCUGGCUAUGGAGCACUGACGAGCGAGUCCGGAGGCGCGUGUGCGUGCUGCUUGCGCAUGGGCACGGUGGAGACGUCCGAGUUCAGGUUAGUCCCUCGCCAGCUACCCCUGCCCGUCUCGAGGAAGUGGGUCAUGGGCUGCAGAGUUACAUGGAGCGCUAGUCGAAGCAAGAGAGCACAUUGCGGCCGGAGCACAUGGCUUCGCACUAUUACUCAGCUGGCACCGUCACAACACAUCACAUCUGCAUCCUGGCAUUUGCAUGGGGCCACACCUGCUUGGACCGUUCUGUCCCACAUCCCAAAAUCGCGGUCAGUACAAACAAUUACAUACCGACGCCGCCCGUGCCUCAAUACCCGUGCCCAGGGCCGUACCCGCCAUAGUAUCCAUGGCUGUACUGUCCAUAGCUUCCGUAACCUCCAUAGCCGUGGCCAUAGCCAUAGUCCCCGUAGCCGUGGCCAUAGCCAUAACCUCCAUAGCCGUGGCCAUAGCCGUAACCUCCAUAGCCGUGGCCAUAGCCGUAACCUCCAUAGCCGUGGCCAUAGCCGUAGCCCCCGUAGCCAUGGCCAUAGCCGCAGUCUCCAUAGCGGUGGCCAUACCCGUAACCUCCAUGGCGGUGGCCAUAGCCGUAACCUCCAUAGCCGCAACCUCCAUAGCCGUGGCCAUAGCCGUAGUCCCCGUACCCGUACGAUGGCGAUGGUGGGUAGGGUGGCGGCUGCGGCAGGGAUGGUCCCGGUGACGGCGGGCGUGGUGGGCGGGGAGAAGGAGGAUGUGGCGAAGGUGGCGGCUGCGGCGGGAGUGGUCCCGGUGACGGCGGGUAUGGUGGGCGGGGAGAAGGAGGAUGCGGCGAAGGUGGUGGCUGUAGCGGAAAUGGUCCCGGUGACGGCGGGUAUGGUGGGCGGGGAGAAGGAGGAUGCGGCGAAGGCAGCGGCUGCGGCGGGAAUGGUCCCGGUGACGGCGGGUAUGGUGGGCGGGGAGAAGGAGGAUGCGGCGACGGCAACGGCUGCGGCGGGAAUGGUCCCGGUGACGGCGGGCGUGGUGGGCGGGGAGAAGGGGGAUGCGGCGACGGCAACGGCUGCGGCGGGAAUGGUCCCGGUGACGGCGGGCUUGGUGAAGAAGGGUUUGGCGAUGGAGGGGUACCUGACGGCCAAGGAAACCACAUGGGGCGGAUAGUUGGAUGUGAUGUACGCUGUGAUGCGAGCUGCACAGUCGCAGUUCCCGAACUUGCUUGCGCCAGGCAAACCUGAGCCCACCCCGCGCUACCCGCGUACUGCUGUUUGGUUGCAGCCCUACAUACGCGCACCUGAGCCACUUACUUUCGGCACCGCCUCCGCUGCCGAGGCAGGUGGAGUCGCAGCCCGAGGUGGCCAGCGGGAUGGACACAGAGUUCUGUGUGUGGGAAAUAACAAUGAAUUGGGUCUGGGUGAUGCAGGAGGAUAGCAUGCAUGCGGGUGGCACGCAAGCCCUGAGGGCACCUCGCUGUACACGCAACGGCUCUGGGGCAGUGACCUGGCACACUGACCCCGCAUCGGCACGGUGCGCACCUGGAACCAGCGGGAGGGGCCAGCGCUCGCGGAGGUGACUUUGAACAGCACCUCACCUGUGUGUGUGUGUGUGUGUGUGUGUGUGUGUGUGUGUGUGUGUGUGUGUGUGUGUGUGUGUGUGUGUGUGUGUGUGUGUGUGUGUGUGUGUGUGUGUGUGUGUGUGUGUGUGUGUGUGUGUGUGUGUGUGUGUGUGUGUGUGUGUGUGUGUGUGUGUACGCUUGGCACCCGCGCGGUGCUUACCCGAUGAGGCGGCUGCGGAGGCUUGGGUGCAGCUGAUCUCGAACGCGACGCUGAAGGAUUUAGCAAGGACGCGUGAGGCGCCGAGGUCCAAACGGUUGGGGCUGUAGGCAAGGGAGGAUUGGGUAGAGUUGUUGGCCAAAGGAAAGCCGUAUGAGUACGGUAGCAGGCACGGUACAGAAGGUGUACCGAACACUGUACGGAGGCACAGGCGCUCGCGCACAAGCGCAGAGCGCUUACGCAUGGACUUGCUGCCCUGCCUGCUGCCUGUCCCUUCAUACCUGCCUCCGGCCACACCUACAGGAGUCACAGGCAGGCCCGGCCUGUCGCCCCGCCACCCCGCCACCACACCCACCAUUCGG